AGCGAACGCUGGCGGCAGGCCUAACACAUGCAAGUCGAGCGGAGAGAAGUAGCUUGCUACUGAUCUUAGCGGCGGACGGGUGAGUAAUGCUUAGGAAUCUGCCUAUUAGUGGGGGACAACAUUUCGAAAGGAAUGCUAAUACCGCAUACGUCCUACGGGGGAAAGCAGGGGAUCUUCGGACCUUGCGCUAAUAGAUGAGCCUAAGUCGGAUUAGCUAGUUGGUGGGGUAAAGGCCUACCAAGGCGACGAUCUGUAGCGGGUCUGAGAGGAUGAUCCGCCACACUGGGACUGAGACACGGUCCAGACUCCUACGGGAGGCAGCAGCUAAGAAUCUUCCGCAAUGGGCGAAAGCCUGACGGAGCGAUGCCGCGUGAUCGAUGAAGGUCGAGAGAUUGUAAAGAUCUUUUCCUCAUGAGGAAUAAGUCUGGGAGGGAAUGCCUGGAUGACGACGUUAGUGAGGGAAUAAGCCCCGGCUAAUUACGUGCCAGCAGCCGCCGUAAAAC
rnacentral:rRNA from 1 species